GGGCCCGUGGCAUAGACUGGUUAUUGCGCCGCUCUGAUAAGGCGGAUGUCGCGAGUUCAAACAGCGUCGGGUUCU
rnacentral:tRNA from 1 species